AUCCUUUCGAGGACAUCCGAUAAAAUUGGAAUAAUAUAGAAAACAUGACCACUACACAAGGAUGACAUGCAAAAAUCGAGAAAAGGUCCAAAUUUUC
rnacentral:snRNA from 2 species